UUGUGUGUGAGGAGCAAGUGUAAAGCAAAAAGCGCUGGGGGUGGAAACACGGUAACACUCCCUGGCGCUUUUUGUUU
rfam:Tolypothrix campylonemoides VB511288 scaffold_3, whole genome shotgun sequence.